AAAGUGAUGUGGAACAGAAACAGUUCAGUCAAUUUUUAAAUGUUUUUUUUUUGUGAAUAGAAAAAGGAAAUACUAAAUUGGCAGUUACAAUUUGUGUGUUUUAUUGUUUUAUUUGUGUGGCGUAUCUAAACAAUUUGAAUAACGCCGCGCAUAAAUCCACAAUUGGACAACGCCAUCCGACUGGGACGACAAAGAAGCGGGCAUCCCCAACAAUUAUUUUUGUAUCGCCAGGUGCGGCACAGGGGUUCCAGGCAACGAAAAGGUUCUGGAAACGGCCAAAAGACCUGGGAAACUGCCAGUGGAUAACCCUUGGAACAGGCAACAGUACCAAUCCGGGAAGCUAACCAGUAGAUCCCACCUAAAAAUC